GUGUAUUCAUUGCAUGUAAAAUAUAUCGGCAUGCGAUGACGUCACAUCCGGUUUCGCCGCGUCUUGUGGGAAAACACCGGUUUGAAAUUAGCGCGAGGGUGGGGGCUUUCCACGAGGCUCACCUGAGCAGAAGCAGUUUUGCAGGCAUGAGAAAUCACAGUGAGAGCAACGCUAUUGCCAUAGAAGCACAGUGGUGAUGUCACACUGCACACUCACAGGACUGGACCCAAGGGAGGAGGAACAGCAGUCUCUCUGUGUCACCAGCUCAACCCAGGAGCAGAGGAUAGCACAGUAGGCUCCGGCAAUGACUUGACCCAGGAGCGGAGGAACUCCCCAUGAAGAGGUGGAAUCAAGAGUUUAGGCACAGGAAUACAAACAAAGCAUUGGAAGACUGAUUGAGAACCAUCACGAGACAAAUCAUUCUCCAUAAACAAAGUAGGACACCACCUACAGAGCAGAAGAGUUCCCUUUAAAUAAUCAUAGAACGCAUGAAGCGUGUGCCAGUCACAAUUAACUCAGUAAGUUUAAACAGAAAGCAACUGGUCUUAAUGGGUCAAGCAAUUAGUAAACAUGGAUUGAGAAAUCCAGAAGCCCGAGCUCUGUGGCUGGCCACGGAGGCUUGCAAGGCUCAUGACGAGUGACAGGGUAGAAAUUCAUUUUGAUUUCUAGCACUGAAUAGCAAAAGGGUUAAAGGUGAUCAGGAGCUGGUGGGGAGAGAGUAGAUGUUGCAAUCGGACCAGCCAUGAUUGUACUGAGGGCUCAAAAGGUCAAGUAGCUGCCUACUGCUCCCUCUUCCUGUUUGUUUUGGAUGCCAUUAUACUUCCGUCAGGGUAUUCAGUUCCAUUGAUGUAAAAUGGAACUAAAUAUUGAAAGGGACGUACAACUGGUAGCUGAUGUGAUUAUUCCUGUCUAGAAUUGGCCACCAAAACCAGAUGAAGGUUUAAUGUGUGGAUUGAAUGGAGUUUGAUUACGGAAAAGGGAAAGCUUUAUAUUCCCUACUAAAAUCAGGGGACUACCGGGCAGCAUAGCUUGAGGGGUGGGAUGGUAGCAUAGUGCUUAGCACAGCACUUUACAGUACAUGUGACCCCGGUUCAAUUUCUGACCCUGCCGCUAAGAAGUCUGUAUGUUCUCCCCAUGAUUGUGUGGAUUCCUUCGGGUACUCCGGUUUCCUCCCACAGUCCAAAGACAUACCAGAUGGUAGGAUAAUUGAUCAUUGUACAUUUUCCUGUGAUUAGGCUAGGGUUAAAUCAGGGGAUUGCUGGGCUGCAUGGCCUGAAGGCUGGGAGGGCCUCUUCCAUGCUGUACCCCAAUCGAUCAAUUAAUCAAUCAAUCAAUCAAUCCAUAAAUAAAUAAAUAAAUAAAUAAAUAAAUAAAUAAAACGACGGUGAUGAUAAGCAUACCUGUGUUCCUCAGAGUCCAGCAUGAUGGAGAGCUGAGUGUUAUUUUGUCUUUGUCUCUGCAUAUGCAUUACUUCCCAACCAAAGAGAACUGAUGAGAUAGGUAACAAAAUGUAGUUCAGCUAUCAUUACAGCCCUUCCUCCAAAGUGACAGGUUACAGUAUUAGGACAUAAAGAAAGAAAUCAGACAGCAGAGGAUCUAAGAAACAUGAAUAAACUUUUCAGCCUCUCAAGCCUGCUCUGCAUUCAAAUACAUCGUGACUAAUCUGUGUGUGAACUUCAUUUAACCGCUUCUGUUGUGCAACUCUUAAUAACCUCACUGAACAAAAUUAUAUCAAUGUCAGUAUUAAAAUUUUCAGUUGACCUAGUCUUUAACAGUAGAGAGUUACUGAUUCCUACCACACUAUUAAAUUUAAAAAUGGAAUUAUAACUUUAACAGCCUUUUGUUGAAUUCAGUGAUUACUGCAAGGUUUUGUGUCAUAUCUGAACUGUACAAAAGUGGGGUGGCAUGAUAGUGUAGUAGUGAGCACAGUGUUUUACAGUACAGGUGAUUGGGGUUCAAUUUCCACCGCUGCCUGUAAUGCAUGUUCUUUCUGUAACCACAUCUUCCCACAGUCCAAAGAUGUACCAGGUACCAUUUGGUAGGUUAAUUGGCCAUUGUAAAUUAUCCUUUGAUUAGGCUAGGGUUAUAUGGGGGGUUGCUGGGUGGUGAGGCUUGAAGGGUUGGAAGGACCUGCACUGUAUCUCAGUAAAUAAAACAUUAAAAAAGAUAUCUUUCAUAGAUUGGAUGCUUGAUCAAGGAUCUUUCAUAAAGGAUUCAAAUCUACUUCUUUUUCAAUUUUUGUACAAUAACUGUUUUGGAAAGUAUUUUGUUUCCAUCCCUCUUUCUGCCUGUAAAUUAAAACAGCUUUGAAGAAAAGUCAACAGAGUGUUCUCCUUCUUGCUUCACAGAUGCUGCCUGACCUGCUGAGUAUUCCCAAUGUUUACUUUAUUGUCAUGGAAAAUGGAUUUUAUAAUGAUGUUGGGAGGAGCCACAUAUCUAUGUUCUGUCUGUAUUGUAUUUUGUGUUGUGAGUUCAUUCUGAUUAAUUUGUCAUAUGGGUUCAUGCGAAUGAGGAUAGUUAAACAUUCAUGCUUUGUCUAAAUUCAGAUUAAUCUGGUUAGUGGCCCAUGGGUGAUUUUUUUUUUUGUUGACCACUAACGCUGACACCACUGCUACAUUGAUAUUAUAUCACUUAGUAUCAUUAUAUCACUAGUUUUGGUUUUGUUAGAUUAUUUGUCUUUGUUGGUUUCUUAAUAAAGCAUCGAACAUA